AACGAACGCUGGCGGCAGGCUUAACACAUGCAAGUCGAACGCUCCGCAAGGAGAGUGCAGACGGGUGAGUAACGCGUGGGAAUCUACCUAGUUCUACGGAACAACAGAGGGAAACUUCUGCUAAUACCGUAUACGCCCUAAGGGGGAAAGAUUUAUCGGAAUUAGAUGAGCCCGCGUAAGAUUAGCUAGUUGGUGGGGUA
rnacentral:rRNA from 1 species